GUCGAACGAACUCUGGUAUUGAUUGGUGCUUGCAUCAUGAUUUACAUUUGAGUGAGUGGCGAACUGGUGAGUAACACGUGGGAAACCUGCCCAGAAGCGGGGGAUAACACCUGGAAACAGAUGCUAAUACCGCAUAACAACUUGGACCGCAUGGUCCGAGCUUGAAAGAUGGCUUCGGCUAUCACUUUUGGAUGGUCCCGCGGCGUAUUAGCUAGAUGGUGGGGUAACGGCUCACCAUGGCAAUGAUACGUAGCCGACCUGAGAGGGUAAUCGGCCACAUUGGGACUGAGACACGGCCCAAACUCCUACGGGAGGCAGCAGUAGGGAAUCUUCCACAAUGGACGAAAGUCUGAUGGAGCAACGCCGCGUGAGUGAAGAAGGGUUUCGGCUCGUAAAACUCUGUUGUUAAAGAAGAACAUAUCUGAGAGUAACUGUUCAGGUAUUGACGGUAUUUAACCAGAAAGCCACGGCUAACUACGUGCCAGCAGCCGCGGUAAUACGUAGGUGGCAAGCGUUGUCCGGAUUUAUUGGGCGUAAAGCGAGCGCAGGCGGUUUUUUAAGUCUGAUGUGAAAGCCUUCGGCUCAACCGAAGAAGUGCAUCGGAAACUGGGAAACUUGAGUGCAGAAGAGGACAGUGGAACUCCAUGUGUAGCGGUGAAAUGCGUAGAUAUAUGGAAGAACACCAGUGGCGAAGGCGGCUGUCUGGUCUGUAACUGACGCUGAGGCUCGAAAGUAUGGGUAGCAAACAGGAUUAGAUACCCUGGUAGUCCAUACCGUAAACGAUGAAUGCUAAGUGUUGGAGGGUUUCCGCCCUUCAGUGCUGCAGCUAACGCAUUAAGCAUUCCGCCUGGGGAGUACGGCCGCAAGGCUGAAACUCAAAGGAAUUGACGGGGGCCCGCACAAGCGGUGGAGCAUGUGGUUUAAUUCGAAGCUACGCGAAGAACCUUACCAGGUCUUGACAUACUAUGCAAAUCUAAGAGAUUAGACGUUCCCUUCGGGGACAUGGAUACAGGUGGUGCAUGGUUGUCGUCAGCUCGUGUCGUGAGAUGUUGGGUUAAGUCCCGCAACGAGCGCAACCCUUAUUAUCAGUUGCCAGCAUUAAGUUGGGCACUCUGGUGAGACUGCCGGUGACAAACCGGAGGAAGGUGGGGAUGACGUCAAAUCAUCAUGCCCCUUAUGACCUGGGCUACACACGUGCUACAAUGGAUGGUACAACGAGUUGCGAACUCGCGAGAGUAAGCUAAUCUCUUAAAGCCAUUCUCAGUUCGGAUUGUAGGCUGCAACUCGCCUACAUGAAGUCGGAAUCGCUAGUAAUCGCGGAUCAGCAUGCCGCGGUGAAUACGUUCCCGGGCCUUGUACACACCGCCCGUCACACCAUGAGAGUUUGUAACACCCAAAGUCGGUGGGGUAACCUUUUAGGAACCAGCCGCCUAAGG
rnacentral:rRNA from 1 species